rnacentral:rRNA from 1 species
CCCUUAGACGUUCUGGGCCGCACGCGCGCCACACUGACGAAGGCAACGAGCUUUCCUUUACCGAAAGGUACGGGUAAUCUUUUGAAACUUCGUCGUGCUGGGGAUAGAUCCUUGCAAUUUUUGAUCUUAAACGAGGAAUGCCUAGUAAGCGCAAGUCAUCAACUUGCGUUGAUUACGUCCCUGCCCUUUGUACACACCGCCCGUCGCUACUACCGAUUGAAUGGUUUAGUGAGGCCUUCGGAUCCGCGACUCGUUUUGUGGAGAAGUUGGACAAACUCAGUCAUUUAGAGGAAGUAAAAGUCGUAACA